rnacentral:tRNA from 1 species
GUUAAGGUGGCAGAGCCUGGUAAUUGCAAAAGACCUAAACUCUUUAACUCAAGGGUUCAAUUCCCUUCCUUAAUU